UACAGAGGGGGCAAGCGUUGUUCGGAAUUACUGGGCGUAAAGGGCGCGUAGGCGGCCUUCUAAGUCGCACGUGAAAUCCCCGGGCUCAACCCGGGAACUGCGUCCGAUACUGGAAGGCUUGAAUCCGGGAGAGGGAUGUGGAAUUCCAGGUGUAGCGGUGAAAUGCGUAGAUAUCUGGAGGAACACCGGUGGCGAAGGCGACAUCCAGGACCGGUAUUGACGCUGAGGCGCGAAAGCCAGGGGAGCAAACAGG
rnacentral:rRNA from 1 species